rnacentral:rRNA from 1 species
AUUGAACGCUGGCGGCAUGCUUUACACAUGCAAGUCGAACGGUAACAGGCCGCAAGGUGCUGACGAGUGGCGAACGGGUGAGUAAUGCAUCGGAACGUGCCCAGUCGUGGGGGAUAACUACUCGAAAGAGUAGCUAAUACCGCAUACGAUCUAUGGAUGAAAGCGGGGGACCGUAAGGCCUCGCGCGAUUGGAGCGGCCGAUGUCAGAUUAGGUAGUUGGUGGGGUAAAGGCUCACCAAGCCAACGAUCUGUAGCUGGUCUGAGAGGACGACCAGCCACACUGGGACUGAGACACGGCCCAGACUCCUACGGGAGGCAGCAGUGGGGAAUUUUGGACAAUGGGCGCAAGCCUGAUCCAGCAAUGCCGCGUGCAGGAAGAAGGCCUUCGGGUUGAAAACUGCUUUUGUACGGAACGAAACGGCUCUGGUUAAUACCCGGGGCUAAUGACGGUACCGUAAGAAUAAGCACCGGCUAACUACGUG